rnacentral:tRNA from 1 species
GCGCCGGUGGUGUAAGGCGAACAUCGCUGCCCGGAAAGAGAAGAUGCGGGUUCGAGUCCCGCCUGGCGCA